UGCUAGUCAGGUUUGUUAACCGCUGAGCCACGAAAGGAACUCCAAGUCCCUCUGGUGUUGGUGCUUUGGCGACGUUGGGAUUCACCUGCCAUCCCCACUCUGAUCACUUUAUCUCGGCUUUCCUUUUCCCAGUCCUCAGGGCCAAGAGCGCCUUGAGUGGGCCUGACCCUCUGGUCCGCAGUCCCCGUAGGGAUCCACUCAGGCUUCCCUCCCCUCCUCCACCCAGUUUCCAGAAUCCCACACCACUCAGGUGUGAUGCUUCUCCUGGAGAAAGCGUUUUUUCGACAGUGAAGCUUCUUUCCUUAGGGGGUGUUCCCAGAGGCAGAAUCCCCACCUGUGCAAGGUGGGUCCCCAUGUCACCGGUGCUGCUUGGUCACCUGUGCAGAAUGUUCUUCUCUGUGCUAAUGAGGAGGACAGCCACACCGAGUUCUCCAAGAGCCAGCGGGAAUGGCCCUGCCUCCAGGUCUUGAAAGUGAAGAAAGCAUUUGCCAUCAUCUGAGACAGAGGAUUGCUCAGGACUUGCAAAUGCGGGUGCCAGGAAACAGGUGAGAGAGGACUACCUGAGGGAGAUGGACCUGGUCUAAGAAACAACCUGUCGGGGAGACAUUAGGGAGAGGUGAAGACUGUGGCAAACUGGAGAGCACAUGCCCUCCGAAGGGGGCAACUCACGUCAGGUAGCAGCAGGGCCCAGAGUUGCCAGGACUUAAAAUCCCGAAGAUACACCAGAAACCUGGAUGUUCACGGCUACAAGAGAAGAGGCUUUGGAGGCCUCACCAACAGCAAGUGGAAGUUCCUGGG